UACGGAAGGUGCAAGCGUUGUUCGGAAUGACUGGGCGUAAAGCGCACGUAGGCGGCUUCGUAAGUCGGAUGUGAAAUCCCUGGGCUCAACCUAGGAACUGCACCCGAAACUACAAAGCUUGAAUGCUUGAGAGGUUGGUGGAAUUCCAGGUGUAGGAGUGAAAUCCGUAGAUAUCUGGAGGAACACCGGUGGCGAAGGCGGCAUCCUGGACCGACACUGACACUGAGGAGCGAAAGCCAGGGGAGCAAACGGG
rnacentral:rRNA from 1 species